UGGUAAACGGAGUAGUGGUUCCUGA
rnacentral:miRNA from 14 species